UACGUAGGGACCGAGCGUUGUCCGGAUUCAUUGGGCGUAAAGAGCUCGUAGGCGGCUGCUCAAGUCGAAUGUGAAAACUCGAGGCUCAACCUCGAGCCUGCAUUCGAUACUGGGCGGCUAGAGUCUGGUAGGGGGAUCUGGAAUUCCUGGUGUAGCGGUGGAAUGCGCAGAUAUCAGGAGGAACACCGGUGGCGAAGGCGGGUCUCUGGGCCGAUAUUGACGCUGAGGAGCGAAAGCGUGGGGAGCGAACAGG
rnacentral:rRNA from 1 species